UGGGGAAUUUUGGACAAUGGGCGAAAGCCUGAUCCAGCAAUGCCGCGUGUGUGAAGAAGGCCUUCGGGUUGUAAAGCACUUUUGUCCGGAAAGAAAUCCUUGGCUCUAAUACAGUCGGGGGAUGACGGUACCGGAAGAAUAAGCACCGGCUAACUACGUGCCAGCAGCCGCGGUAAUACGUAGGGUGCAAGCGUUAAUCGGAAUUACUGGGCGUAAAGCGUGCGCAGGCGGUUUGCUAAGACCGAUGUGAAAUCCCCGGGCUCAACCUGGGAACUGCAUUGGUGACUGGCAGGCUAGAGUAUGGCAGAGGGGGAUAGAAAUUUCCACGUGUAGCAGUGAAAUGCGUAGAGAUGUGGAGGAAUACCGAUGGCGAAGGCAGCCCCCUGGGCCAAAUACUGACGCUCAUGCACGAAAGCGUGGGGGAGCAAACAGGAUUAGAUACCCUGGUAGUCCACGCCCUAAACGAUGUCAACUAGUUGUUGGGGAUUCAUUUCCUUAGUAACGUAGCUAACGCGUGAAGUUGACCGCCUGGGGAGUACGGUCGCAAGAUUAAAACUUAAAUGAAUUGACGAGUCAUAGCUG
rnacentral:rRNA from 1 species